UGCAGUCGAACGAUGAAGCCUUUCGGGGUGGAUUAGUGGCGAACGGGUGAGUAACACGUGGGCAAUCUGCCCUUCACUCUGGGACAAGCCCUGGAAACGGGGUCUAAUACCGGAUAACACUCUGUCCUGCAUGGGACGGGGUUAAAAGCUCCGGCGGUGAAGGAUGAGCCCGCGGCCUAUCAGCUUGUUGGUGGGGUAAUGGCCUACCAAGGCGACGACGGGUAGCCGGCCUGAGAGGGCGACCGGCCACACUGGGACUGAGACACGGCCCAGACUCCUACGGGAGGCAGCAGUGGGGAAUAUUGCACAAUGGGCGAAAGCCUGAUGCAGCGACGCCGCGUGAGGGAUGACGGCCUUCGGGUUGUAAACCUCUUUCAGCAGGGAAGAAGCGAAAGUGACGGUACCUGCAGAAGAAGCGCCGGCUAACUACGUGCCAGCAGCCGCGGUAAUACGUAGGGCGCAAGCGUUGUCCGGAAUUAUUGGGCGUAAAGAGCUCGUAGGCGGCUUGUCACGUCGGAUGUGAAAGCCCGGGGCUUAACCCCGGGUCUGCAUUCGAUACGGGCUAGCUAGAGUGUGGUAGGGGAGAUCGGAAUUCCUGGUGUAGCGGUGAAAUGCGCAGAUAUCAGGAGGAACACCGGUGGCGAAGGCGGAUCUCU
rnacentral:rRNA from 1 species